UACGAGUGCCUCAAGCGUUGUCCGGAAUCAUUGGGCGUAAAGAGCGCGUAGGCGGCCAGAUAAGUCCGGUGUGAAAGUCAAAGGCUCAACCUUUGAAUGCCGCUGGAAACUGUCUGGCUAGAGUCCGGGAGGGGCGAGUGGAAUUCCUGGUGUAGCGGUGAAAUGCGCAGAUAUCAGGAGGAACACCAAUGGCGAAGGCAGCUCGCUGGAACGGUACUGACGCUGAGGCGCGAAAGCGUGGGGAGCAAACAGG
rnacentral:rRNA from 1 species